rnacentral:rRNA from 1 species
UGGGGAAUUUUGGACAAUGGGCGCAAGCCUGAUCCAGCCAUGCCGCGUGCGGGAAGAAGGCCUUCGGGUUGUAAACCGCUUUUGUACGGAACGAAACGGUCUUUUUUAAUACAAGGGGCUAAUGACGGUACCGUAAGAAUAAGCACCGGCUAACUACGUGCCAGCAGCCGCGGUAAUACGUAGGGUGCGAGCGUUAAUCGGAAUUACUGGGCGUAAAGCGUGCGCAGGCGGGUAUAUAAGACAGUUGUGAAAUCCCCGGGCUCAACCUGGGAAUUGCAUCUGUGACUGUAUAGCUAGAGUACGGUAGAGGGGGAUGGAAUUCCGCGUGUAGCAGUGAAAUGCGUAGCUAUGCGGAGGAACUCCGAUGGCGAAGGCAAUCCCCUGGACCUGCACUGACGCUCAUGCACGAAAGCGUGGGGAGCAAACA